GAUGAACGCUGGCGGCGUGCCUAAUACAUGCAAGUCGAGCGAAUGGAUUAAGAGCUUGCUCUUAUGAGGUUAGCGGCGGACGGGUGAGUAACACGUGGGUAACCUGCCCAUAAGACUGGGAUAACUCCGGGAAACCGGGGCUAAUACCGGAUAACAUUUUGAACCGCAUGGUUCGAAAUUGAAAGGCGGCUUCGGCUGUCACUUAUGGAUGGACCCGCGUCGCAUUAGCUAGUUGGUGAGGUAACGGCUCACCAAGGCAACGAUGCGUAGCCGACCUGAGAGGGUGAUCGGCCACACUGGGACUGCGACACGGCCCAGACUCCUACUGGAGGCAGCAGUAGGGAAUCUUCCGCAAUGGACGAAAGUCUGACGGAGCAACGCCGCGUGAGUGAUGAAGGCUUUCGGGUCGUAAAACUCUGUUGUUAGGGAAGAACAAGUGCUAGUUGAAUAAGCUGGCACCUUGACGGUACCUAACCAGAAAGCCACGGCUAACUACGUGCCAGCCGCCGCAGUAA
rnacentral:rRNA from 1 species